rnacentral:rRNA from 1 species
UUAGUGGAAGCGUCUGGAAAGGCGCGCGAUACAGGGUGACAGCCCCGUACACAAAAGCGCAUGUGCUGUGAGCUCGAUGAGUAGGGCGGGACACGUGGUAUCCUGUCUGAAUAUGGGGGGACCAUCCUCCAAGGCUAAAUACUCCUGACUGACCGAUAGUGAACCAGUACCGUGAGGGAAAGGCGAAAAGAACCCCGGCGAGGGGAGUGAAAAAGAACCUGAAACCGUGUACGUACAAGCAGUGGGAGCCCCACCACUAAGCCAGUGGUGAACUCCACAUACGCAUCCUUUGCUGAGGAUGCGGUUAACGGAGCGAAAGCGACGUUCAACCGCAAAAGAAGCAGAGGGGGCUUAGUGGUGGGGUGACUGCGUACCUUUUGUAUAAUGGGUCAGCGACUUAUAUUCUGUAGCAAGGUUAACCGAAUAGGGGAGCCGGAGGGAAACCGAGUCUUAACCGGGCGUUAAGUUGCAGGGUAUAGACCCGAAACCCGGUGAUCUAGCCAUGGGCAGGUUGAAGGUUGGGUAACACUAACUGGAGGACCGAACCGACUAAUGUUGAAAAAUUAGCGGAUGACCUGUGGCUGGGGGUGAAAGGCCAAUCAAACCGGGAGAUAGCUGGUUCUCCCCGAAAGCUAUUUAGGUAGCGCCUCGUGAAUUCAUCUCCGGGGGUAGAGCACUGUUUCGGCUAGGGGGCCAUCCCGGCUU